rnacentral:lncRNA from 1 species
AAUAAAGAUCCAAAACCCAUAGUCCAUAAAUAAAGAUCCAAAACCCAAAGAUCCAAAAAAUCCAAAGUCCAUAAAUAAAACCCAAUCAAAUCUACCAAGCCUAUGUCAUCAAAAUACCUCCAACCCAAACCGAAUUCAUGGGCUUUCCAAAUGGGCCCUUUAUUAUGAAUUAAUUCUAUGAAUUAAUUUCCUGGGCUUUCCAGAGGCCCCCUAUCAUGAAUUAAUUCGACAAAUUAAUUUCAUGGGUCUGCCAAAUAGGCCCUUUAUCACGGAUUAAUUCUAUGAAUUAAUUUCAUGGGCCCUCCUUGUCAUAGAUUAAUUUCAUGAAUUAAUGGGCCCUCCAAAUGGCUCCUUAUCAUAAAUAAAUUCAACGGGCUCUCCAAAUAGCCCCUAUCAUGAAUUAAUUUCAUGAAUUCAAUGGACUUUACAAACGGGCUCCUAGCAUGAAUUAAUUUUAUGAGUCAGUUUCAUAAACAUCUCGAUUUCAAACGAUCGAAACGUCGUUAAACUAAAUCCAACGACCGAAACGUCGUUAAACUAAACCCAACGACCGAAACGUCAGUAAACUAAACCCAACGACCGAAACGUCGUUAAACUAAACCCAACAACGGAAAUAUCGUUAAACUAAACCCAACGACCGAAACGUCGUUAAACUAAACCCAAAUCCAAACGAACGAAACGUUGCUAAACUAAACCUAUAUUCAGACGACCGAAACGUCGCUAAACUAAACCCAAAUUCGAACGACCGAAACGUCGUUAAACUAAACCCAAAUUCAAAUGACCGAAAAGUCGUUAAACUAAACCUAAAACUUCAAUCGACCACCAAGUUGCUAAAUUGAGUAUCUAGUCUUAUAAAAUUUAUGUACAGUGGGGAAAUGCCCCUGCUUAAGCCAUGUACACGGCAAAUCAUAUUAAUAAAAUUUUAUUUGCCUGUUU